UACGGAGGGGGCUAGCGUUGUUCGGAAUUACUGGGCGUAAAGCGCGCGUAGGCGGACCUGCAAGUCGGGGGUGAAAGCCCGAGGCUCAACCUCGGAACUGCCUCCGAUACUGCGGGUCUCGAGUCCGGGAGAGGUGAGUGGAAUUCCUAGUGUAGAGGUGAAAUUCGUAGAUAUUAGGAAGAACACCAGUGGCGAAGGCGGCUCACUGGCCCGGUACUGACGCUGAGGCACGAAAGCGUGGGGAGCAAACAGG
rnacentral:rRNA from 1 species